AUGCGUACCAGUUACAACGUAAAUAUUGUUGCGAAACUUUCGGCAAUAAUAAUUAUUCAAUCGGUAUCGUUUAGAAUUCCCCGUUUCGCGUGUGCUCGCUUUCGCGUAUUCCGGUGAUAUUAAUAAUCGAAUCUAUACAGGGCAGGGGCGAAUUGACCCGGUCAGCAGACGGGAUACCUGGGCAGACUGGGGUACUUCCCGUGUUUAGACACUGGGCCG